rnacentral:rRNA from 1 species
AUGGAAGAUGCUAGGCUCGAGUUCCUGCUUGAUGCCGUGGACAGGAUUUCGCUAUGUGAAGGGUUCGCAGACAGUUUAGAUGAUCCAGAUCCGGUCCCUCUGGCGGUGUUCCCACGAGUUGAUGUAGCCCCUACUGCUCAGGUGGACUCAAAUGACGGCUCAGGUUGCGGGCAAAGAUGUUGGGUGCGCAGUCGCGGGGGAGCCGCAGGCAAUCGAUCUGAUCAAUCAAUGGACAGGCUGAACCCGAGGCUCCGGCUUGGGCAAAAAGGUUAUCAGCUUGUCAUUGUGCAGCAUGUGCUGAACGAGAAGUGUGGUUCAGUGUAUUUGUUGUUGCUUCUUCUUGGAUGA